UUAAGCGACUAAGCGUACACGGUGGAUGCCCUGGCAGUCAGAGGCGAUGAAGGACGUGCUAAUCUGCGAUAAGCGUCGGUAAGGUGAUAUGAACCGUUAUAACCGGCGAUUUCCGAAUGGGGAAACCCAGUGUGAUUCGUCACACUAUCAUUAACUGAAUCCAUAGGUUAAUGAGGCGAACCGGGGGAACUGAAACAUCUAAGUACCCCGAGGAAAAGAAAUCAACCGAGAUUCCCCCAGUAGCGGCGAGCGAACGGGGAGCAGCCCAGAGCCUGAAUCAGUGUGUGUGUUAGUGGAAGCGUCUGGAAAGGCGCGCGAUACAGGGUGACAGCCCCGUACACAAAAAUGCACAUGCUGUGAGCUCGAUGAGUAGGGCGGGACACGUGGUAUCCUGUCUGAAUAUGGGGGGACCAUCCUCCAAGGCUAAAUACUCCUGACUGACCGAUAGUGAACCAGUACCGUGAGGGAAAGGCGAAAAGAACCCCGGCGAGGGGAGUGAAAAAGAACCUGAAACCGUGUACGUACAAGCAGUGGGAGCCUCUUUAUGGGGUGACUGCGUACCUUUUGUAUAAUGGGUCAGCGACUUAUAUUCUGUAGCAAGGUUAACCGAAUAGGGGAGCCGAAGGGAAACCGAGUCUUAACUGGGCGUUAAGUUGCAGGGUAUAGACCCGAAACCCGGUGAUCUAGCCAUGGGCAGGUUGAAGGUUGGGUAACACUAACUGGAGGACCGAACCGACUAAUGUUGAAAAAUUAGCGGAUGACUUGUGGCUGGGGGUGAAAGGCCAAUCAAACCGGGAGAUAGCUGGUUCUCCCCGAAAGCUAUUUAGGUAGCGCCUCGUGAAUUCAUCUCCGGGGGUAGAGCACUGUUUCGGCAAGGGGGUCAUCCCGACUUACCAACCCGAUGCAAACUGCGAAUACCGGAGAAUGUUAUCACGGGAGACACACGGCGGGUGCUAACGUCCGUCGUGAAGAGGGAAACAACCCAGACCGCCAGCUAAGGUCCCAAAGUCAUGGUUAAGUGGGAAACGAUGUGGGAAGGCCCAGACAGCCAGGAUGUUGGCUUAGAAGCAGCCAUCAUUUAAAGAAAGCGUAAUAGCUCACUGGUCGAGUCGGCCUGCGCGGAAGAUGUAACGGGGCUAAACCAUGCACCGAAGCUGCGGCAGCGACGCUUAUGCGUUGUUGGGUAGGGGAGCGUUCUGUAAGCCUGCGAAGGUGUGCUGUGAGGCAUGCUGGAGGUAUCAGAAGUGCGAAUGCUGACAUAAGUAACGAUAAAGCGGGUGAAAAGCCCGCUCGCCGGAAGACCAAGGGUUCCUGUCCAACGUUAAUCGGGGCAGGGUGAGUCGACCCCUAAGGCGAGGCCGAAAGGCGUAGUCGAUGGGAAACAGGUUAAUAUUCCUGUACUUGGUGUUACUGCGAAGGGGGGACGGAGAAGGCUAUGUUGGCCGGGCGACGGUUGUCCCGGUUUAAGCGUGUAGGCUGGUUUUCCAGGCAAAUCCGGAAAAUCAAGGCUGAGGCGUGAUGACGAGGCACUACGGUGCUGAAGCAACAAAUGCCCUGCUUCCAGGAAAAGCCUCUAAGCAUCAGGUAACAUCAAAUCGUACCCCAAACCGACACAGGUGGUCAGGUAGAGAAUACCAAGGCGCUUGAGAGAACUCGGGUGAAGGAACUAGGCAAAAUGGUGCCGUAACUUCGGGAGAAGGCACGCUGAUACGUAGGUGAAGCGACUUGCUCGUGGAGCUGAAAUCAGUCGAAGAUACCAGCUGGCUGCAACUGUUUAUUAAAAACACAGCACUGUGCAAACACGAAAGUGGACGUAUACGGUGUGACGCCUGCCCGGUGCCGGAAGGUUAAUUGAUGGGGUUAGCGGUAACGCGAAGCUCUUGAUCGAAGCCCCGGUAAACGGCGGCCGUAACUAUAACGGUCCUAAGGUAGCGAAAUUCCUUGUCGGGUAAGUUCCGACCUGCACGAAUGGCGUAAUGAUGGCCAGGCUGUCUCCACCCGAGACUCAGUGAAAUUGAACUCGCUGUGAAGAUGCAGUGUACCCGCGGCAAGACGGAAAGACCCCGUGAACCUUUACUAUAGCUUGACACUGAACAUUGAGCCUUGAUGUGUAGGAUAGGUGGGAGGCUUUGAAGUGUGGACGCCAGUCUGCAUGGAGCCGACCUUGAAAUACCACCCUUUAAUGUUUGAUGUUCUAACGUUGGCCCGUUAUCCGGGUUGCGGACAGUGUCUGGUGGGUAGUUUGACUGGGGCGGUCUCCUCCUAAAGAGUAACGGAGGAGCACGAAGGUUGGCUAAUCCUGGUCGGAC
rnacentral:rRNA from 2 species